GCAAUACGUAGAAAUGGGAUAAUUUAUGCUCUACAAAUUGCGUAAAGUUGGUUAUACAUUUGGUAUUUCGCAACGAAGAGGAUAUGUAUAUUAUGCGUGUCUUUGCGGCAUUAGCGUGUCUUUGCUGUAGACAAAGGCAUUCGUUUAUAGUGACUAGUGUACAAUAAGAUUCCCUGACCCUGGUUUGUGUCUGAACUUCCUCAUAAAGUUAUGUCAUAAAACACACUUCAACAUUUCAAAGAAACGCCCUUCAGCUUCGUCGGUAAC